rnacentral:rRNA from 1 species
GAUGAACGCUGGCGGCGUGCCUAAUACAUGCAAGUCGAGCGAACGGACGAGACGCUUGCUUCUCUGAUGUUAGCGGCGGACGGGUGAGUAACACGUGGAUAACCUACCUAUAAGACUGGGAUAACUUCGGGAAACCGGAGCUAAUACCGGAUAAUAUUUUGAACCGCAUGGUUCAAAAGUGAAAGACGGUCUUGCUGUCACUUAUAGCUGGAUCCGCGCUGCAUUAGCUAGUUGGUAAGGUAACGGCUUACCAAGGCAACGAUGCAUAGCCGACCUGAGAGGGUGAUCGGCCACACUGGAACUGAGACACGGUCCAGACUCCUACGGGAGGCAGCAGUAGGGAAUCUUCCGCAAUGGGCGAAAGCCUGACGGAGCAACGCCGCGUGAGUGAUGAAGGUCUUCGGAUCGUAAAACUCUGUUAUUAGGGAAGAACAUAUGUGUAAGUAACUGUGCACAUCUUGACGGUACCUAAUCAGAAAGCCACGGCUAACUACGUG